UACGGGGGGGCAAGCGUUGUUCGGAAUUACUGGGCGUAAAGGGCGCGUAGGCGGCCAUCUAAGUCAGACGUGAAAUCCCUCGGCUCAACCGAGGAACUGCGUCUGAUACUGGACAUCUUGAGUACGGGAGAGGUGAGUGGAACACCGAGUGUAGAGGUGAAAUUCGUAGAUAUUCGGUAGAACACCAGUGGCGAAGGCGACUCACUGGCCCGUUACUGACGCUGAGGCGCGAAAGCGUGGGGAGCGAACGAGG
rnacentral:rRNA from 1 species